rnacentral:rRNA from 1 species
UACGAAGGGGGCUAGCGUUGCUCGGAAUCACUGGGCGUAAAGCGCACGUAGGCGGACUCUUAAGUCGGUGGUGAAAUCCUGGAGCUCAACUCCAGAACUGCCUUCGAUACUGAGAGUCUCGAGUCCGAGAGAGGUGAGUGGAACUGCGAGUGUAGAGGUGAAAUGCGUAGAUAUCUGGAGGAAUACCGGUGGCGAAGGCGGCAUCCUGGACCGACAUUGACGCUGAACGGCGAAAGCUAGGGGAGCAAACGGG